rnacentral:rRNA from 1 species
UACGUAGGGGGCAAGCGUUGUCCGGAUUUAUUGGGCGUAAAGAGCGUGUAGGCGGUUUGGUAGGUCCGCUGUGAAAACUCGAGGCUCAACCUCGAGACGCCGGUGGAAACCAUCAGACUAGAGUCCGGAAGAGGAGAGUGGAAUUCCUGGUGUAGCGGUGAAAUGCGCAGAUAUCAGGAAGAACACCCGUGGCUAAGGAGGCUCUCUAGUACGGUACUGACGCUGAGACGCGAAAGCGUGGGGAGCGAACAGG